GGUGGCUCAGCAGUGAAGAGCACUGGCUGUUCUUUCCAGAGGACUUGGGUUCAAUUCCCAGCACCG
rnacentral:tRNA from 1 species